AAAGGGAGAAGAACCAACAGGGGAUUGCCCUAGUAACGGCGAAGUGAAGCGGCAACAGCUCAAAUUUGAAAUCUGGCCUUCGGGUCCGAGUUGUAAUUUGUAGAGGAUGCUUUUGGCGCGGUGCCUUCCGAGUUCCCUGGAACGGGACGCCUUAGAGGGUGAGAGCCCCGUACGGUUGGACACCAAGCCUUUGUAAAGCUCCUUCGACGAGUCGAGUAGUUUGGGAAUGCUGCUCUAAAUGGGAGGUAAAUUUCUUCUAAAGCUAAAUAUUGGCCAGAGACCGAUAGCGCACAAGUAGAGUGAUCGAAAGAUGAAAAGCACUUUGAAAAGAGGGUUAAAUAGCACGUGAAAUUGUUGAAAGGGAAGCGUUUGCGACCAGACCUUUUCUUGGCGGAUCAUCCGGUGUUAUCACCGGUGCACUUCGCCAAGUUGAGGCCAGCAUCGGUUUUUGUAGGGGGAUAAAAGCCUGGGGAAUGUGGCUCCUUCGGGAGUGUUAUAGCCCCUCGCAUAAUACCCUUACGGGGACCGAGGACCGCGCUUUAUGCAAGGAUGCUGGCGUAAUGGUCGUCAACGACCCGUCUUGAAACACGGACCAAGGAGUCGAACAUUUGUGCGAGUGUUUGGGUGUUAAACCCUCACGCGUAAUGAAAGUGAACGGAGGUGAGAGCCCUUACGGGUGCAUCAUCGACCGAUCCUGAUGUCUUCGGAUGGAUUUGAGUAAGAGCAUAACUGUUCGGACCCGAAAGAUGGUGAACUAUGCGUGGAUAGGGUGAAGCCAGAGGAAACUCUGGUGGAGGCUCGCAGCGGUUCUGACGUGCAAAUCGAUCGUCAAAUCUGCGCAUGGGGGCGAAAGACUUAUCGAACCAUCUAGUAGCUGGUACCGCAUUUUUCCUCCGGAGAAAAGAAAAAAAAAG
rnacentral:rRNA from 1 species